GUCAGACCUGCAAGGAGAUGGCCAUCCACGGUAAGAGUUCCCAUAGGGAACCGCCAUCUCCUGCCGCUAAUGGCGGCUUUGCAGGUCAGGAGGU
rnacentral:ncRNA from 1 species